AACGAACGCUGGCGGCAUGCCUAACACAUGCAAGUCGAACGAGACCUUCGGGUCUAGUGGCGCACGGGUGCGUAACGCGUGGGAACCUGCCCUUAGGUUCGGAAUAACUCCCCGAAAGGGGUGCUAAUACCGGAUAAUGUCUUCGGACCAAAGAUUUAUCGCCUUUGGAUGGGCCCGCGUUGGAUUAGCUAGUUGGUAGGGUAAAAGCCUACCAAGGCGACGAUCCAUAGCUGGUCUGAGAGGAUGAUCAGCCACACUGGGACUGAGACACGGCCCAGACUCCUACGGGAGGCAGCAGUGGGGAAUAUUGGACAAUGGGCGAAAGCCUGAGCCAGCAAUGCCGCGUGAGUGAUGAAGGCCUUAGGGUUGUAAAGCUCUUUUAUCCGGGAUGAUAAUGACAGUACCGGGAGAAUAAGCUCCGGCUAACUCCGUG
rnacentral:rRNA from 1 species